GACGAACGCUGGCGGCGUGCCUAAUACAUGCAAGUAGAACGCUGAAGGAGGAGCUUGCUUCUCUGGAUGAGUUGCGAACGGGUGAGUAACGCGUAGGUAACCUGCCUGGUAGCGGGGGAUAACUAUUGGAAACGAUAGCUAAUACCGCAUAAUAGUAGAUGUCGCAUGACAUUUGCUUAAAAGGUGCAAUUGCAUCACUACCAGAUGGACCUGCGUUGUAUUAGCUAGUUGGUGAGGUAACGGCUCACCAAGGCAACGAUACAUAGCCGACCUGAGAGGGUGAUCGGCCACACUGGGACUGAGACACGGCCCAGACUCCUACGGGAGGCAGCAGUAGGGAAUCUUCGGCAAUGGACGGAAGUCUGACCGAGCAACGCCGCGUGAGUGAAGAAGGGUGUCGGAUCGUAAAGCUCUGUUGUAAGAGAAGAACGAGUGUGAGAGUGGAAAGUUCACACUGUGACGGUAUCUUACCAGAAAGGGACGGCUAACUACGUG
rnacentral:rRNA from 1 species